GAUGAACGCUGGCGGCGUGCCUAAUACAUGCAAGUCGAGCGAACGGACGAGAAACUUGCUUCUCUGAUGUUAGCGGCGGACGGGUGAGUAACACGUGGAUAACCUACCUAUAAGACUGGGAUAACUUCGGGAAACCGGAGCUAAUACCGGAUAAUAUUUUGAACCGCAUGGUUCAAAAGUGAAAGACGGUCUUGCUGUCACUUAUAGAUGGAUCCGCGCUGCAUUAGCUAGUUGGUAAGGUAACGGCUUACCAAGGCAACGAUGAAUAGCCGACCUGAGAGGGUGAUCGGCCACACUGGAACUAAGACACGGUCCAGACUCCUACGGGAGGCAGCAGUAGGGAAUCUUCCGCAAUGGGCGAAAGCCUGACGGAGCAACGCCGCGUGAGUGAUGAAGGUCUUCGGAUCGUAAAACUCUGUUAUUAGGGAAGAACAUAUGUGUAAGUAACUGUGCACAUCUUGACGGUACCUAAUCAGAAAGCCACGGCUAACUACGUG
rnacentral:rRNA from 1 species